GAUGAACGCUAGCGGCAGGCCUAAUACAUGCGAGUCAAGGGGCCAGCAAUGGCACCGGCGCACGGGUGCGUAACACGUACACAACAUACCUUUAAGUGGGAGAUAGCAUCGGGAAACUGGUGGUAAUACCCCAUAAUAUUGCGAUGCGGCAUCACAUUGCAAUUAAAGUUUCGACGCUUAAAGAUUGGUGUGCGUCCGAUUAGCUAGUUGGCGGGGUAACGGCCCACCAAGGCUACGAUCGGUAGGGGGUGUGAGAGCAUGACCCCCCACAUGGGUACUGAGACACGGACCCAACUCCUACGGGAGGCAGCAGUAAGGAAUAUUGGACAAUGGACGAAAGUCUGAUCCAGCCAUGCCGCGUGCAGGAUGAAGGCGCUCAGCGUUGUAAACUGCUUUUGGAUGGGAAUAAUAACCUCGACGUGUCGGGGCUCGAAGGUACCAUCAGAAUAAGCACCGGCUAACUCCGUGCCAGCAGCCG
rnacentral:rRNA from 1 species